GAAUAAGUGUAGGCUUUAAUUUGCUGUCCUAUUAUUUAGCUUGUUUUUAUUUUAUUAUUUAUGGCUCAAAAAGUUAUACUCGUCUAUUCUUUAGUUUAGUUUUUUUUUUCUUGGUUCGAGAACAAUCGAUUUCUGUUUAUUUUUGAAAUAGGUAUAACUUUUGUGAUAGAUAGGAAUUAGUUCAAUUUUAUGUUUGGACGUGAAUCAAGAUAUUUAGAGGAAUAAGAAAAAUUACGUUUGGUUGAUUGGGUUGGAAUAGUAGGGAUAAGAGUAAUUAUGAUUAAAAAUAAAACUAAUUUAUCUAAAUAUUAAGCACCUAAGUAUUAGUAAAUAAUAUUUUAAUAAGUUAAUAAAUAAACUAAUCAAAAUUAU
rnacentral:lncRNA from 1 species